rnacentral:rRNA from 1 species
CUUUAAAAACACCACUUUUUAAGUUGGGGCGACUACGGAAACAAAAAAAACUUCCACGACCAGGGCUAACCCCCCCAAAAAAGGACUCACACACCAACCCAGCUGAUCAACGAACCAAGUUACCCCAGGGAUAACAGCGCCAUCCUCUUCUAGAGCCCCUAUCGCCAAGAGGGUUUACGACCUCGAUGUUGGAUCAGGACCCCCUAGUGGCGCAGCCGCUACUAAAGGUUCGUUUGUUCAACGAUUAAAGUCCUACGUGAUCUGAGUUCAGACCGGAGUAAUCCAGGUCGGUUU